AUCCAAACACUGUCUCCUCUCUUGAUGACUACAACCAGCCUCUCAGUGACUUUCUCUCCUAACUUCCCCUUUACCAAAAGGUCAUUUUUGGUGAGCCAUAGCGUUGGAGAAGGGAACAUGAUGGCUGUCAUGUGAGACUUCCCUUCCCAACAAGCAUGAUGAUGAAACCUGAAUAUGUCCGGGACAAGUAUUAUUACAACGAGAACGAGAGCACCAUAGAGAGAAAAGCAAUUCCUUUUGGCCAAAGAUAUAUAGAAAGAAGGAGAGGUCUCUCUCCAUCAUGUGGACAAUGUCGCUAAGUAAAUAAAGAUGAGUUUGAGUGUCUUAAUUUUAGCAGAGUUGUUGAACAAACAACAUGUAUCUAACAAAGCUAAGUAAACUAAGAUUGUCAAGUCUUGAAACUUUCCUACCCAACCAGCUGGAGAAAAUGAUGCUAUGAAGUUUAAGUCCACAAAUAGACAAAUUACAGAAACUUACUAAAUAAAGAGAGAGAGGGAAACCUGAGAG